rnacentral:lncRNA from 1 species
GAGUUGAGGAAAAGCCUUUGCUAAGUUUUAAAUGCAUUGGCUCCAUCUCACAUCAAAAAUUUAGGUGUCCAUACCCCUCCACACCAAAUUCCAAUCUCUUUCUGCAGGCCAGCAGCCAGCCACAAUUAAGCAGCAGCAGGAGCAGCAAUUAAUGGACGAUCCAGGAGGGUGUGAAGGCUUAUACUCUCAGCCACCACAA